UGGGGAAUAUUGGACAAUGGGCGCAAGCCUGAUCCAGCCAUGCCGCGUGAGUGAUGAAGGCCUUAGGGUUGUAAAGCUCUUUCGGCGGGGAAGAUAAUGACGGUACCCGCAGAAGAAGCCCCGGCUAACUUCGUGCCAGCAGCCGCGGUAAUACGAAGGGGGCUAGCGUUGCUCGGAAUCACUGGGCGUAAAGCGCACGUAGGCGGCUUACUAAGUCAGGGGUGAAAUCCUGGAGCUCAACUCCAGAACUGCCUUUGAUACUGGUGAGCUUGAGUUCGGGAGAGGUGAGUGGAACUGCGAGUGUAGAGGUGAAAUUCGUAGAUAUUCGCAAGAACACCGGUGGCGAAGGCGGCUCACUGGCCCGAUACUGACGCUGAGGUGCGAAAGCGUGGGGAGCAAACA
rnacentral:rRNA from 1 species